GUCUACGGCCGUACCACCCUGAAUGCGCCCGAUCUCGUCUGAUCUCGGAAGCUAAGCAGGGUCAGGCCUGGUUAGUACUUGGGAGGGGGAGUGGGGAGGUGAGAGA
rnacentral:rRNA from 1 species